rnacentral:rRNA from 1 species
AAGUCGUAACAAGGUUUCCGUAGGUGAACCUGCGGAAGGAUCAUUAUUGAAUACGAUUGGUACUGAUGCUGGCUCUUUACUGAGCAUGUGCUCGUUCCAUCUAUUUAUCUUCUCUUGUGCACAUCUUGUGGUCUUGAAUUGAAACCUCUCGCAUUCGUGCGGUUUGGGAGUCUGAAUAAACUCUGCUCCUGCUUCGUUCAAGAUCAUGUUUUCAUAUACACUAUAAAGUUACAGAAUGUCUUUUAACGAUUGCGCAAGCAGUCAUUAAACCUAUACAACUUUCAGCAACGGAUCUCUUGGCUCUCCUAUCGAUGAAGAACGCAGCGAAAUGCGAUAAGUAAUGUGAAUUGCAGAAUUCAGUGAAUCAUCGAAUCUUUGAACGCACCUUGCGCCCUUUGGUAUUCCGAAGGGCAUGCCUGUUUGAGUGUCAUUAAAUUAUCAACCUUGCUCGCUUUUACUAGCUUGAGUUUGGCUUGGAUGUGAGGGCUUUGCUGGCUUCCUUCAGUGGAUGGUCUGCUCCCUUUAAAUGCAUUAGUGGGAUCUCUUGUGGACCGUCACUUGGUGUGAUAAUUAUCUAUGCCUUGAGACUUUGAAGCAAACUAAUGGGAACCUGCUUAUAACCGUCUUC